UUGCCUAAAAAAAUAACUUCUUCUCAAAAAAAAAAAACUGCGCGAGAGGAAGGAAGGAGCAGAACGGUGGGGGACGGAGCGCCGCAUCUCCGGCCGGUGGAGGAGGAGGAGGAGAAAAUAUUGGCGGCUUGGCGCAACCUUCUUCCUCCUCCCCCACCCACUUACCGGCCUCACAUUUGGAGCCAGUACGGGCUCGGGCGGCAAAUAUGGACUGGGAGCAGACCAAGACGCGGAGGCCGUCCGGGUGGAGCGAGAGCUUCUCAAAGGUGAAAGCUCGACCAUAUACUCGUUGAGAUGGCAAGGCUGGAGAAGCUCUAUAAAAUGCACACAUGUACUAAGGGGGUUAUUACUGGAGCUCCACUGGACCCGCAAAAUAGAGGCUAUAUCUACUAGCGCAAGCAGAGAAACAGAAACAGAAACAGGAAACUGUACCAUUGAAUCCAUUAACCCGGAUGUAGAGGUACAACUCAUAAAUGAUUUUUGCGCUGGAGGAGGUGAUAGCACAACCAUAUACUCGCUAAGAUGGCAAGGCUGUGUCAGGACUCAGGACCCAAGUAUGUGUUCUUUGAAGAAUUCAACACUGCAUCGUCGAUUCAGUUAAGUUUGAAUUUGAACGAGACAACUCUGACGCUCCUCCUGUCUCCGUACCCCUUCGCUAGUUAUGAAGACCCAGAUGGCGUCUGAUCAGCACCUAACGGCUGCGAGAGCAUCCUGUGUCGCUGUUGGCUUUCCGGCAAGCCUUCAGAGAGCCAACUACUCCAUUUUUCUUUUCCUUCUAUUUCCUCCAAGUUACAAGGUUAUAAAGCCACAUUCCUAGAACUCCCUGGGUAUCUCUCUUGUAUUAGGUUUUCCCCUUAGCCGCCAGUGUUCCUGGUUAGCCUUAGGUUCUUCUUGUAUCACGCUAGAACCCUUGAAUUCGUCCAAUAAAGUGGCUAAGAUUUGCGAGUUUCAGGAGUUGUUUCAGCGGAUAUUCUUACGCUCAUACUAUCGGGACAUCAAUCUGCAAGUGAUUAUCUGACCUUGUUUUGCUGAGGCAUAUGAGUGUAGGUAGCAUUGUUCCUCGCCAACACCGCCAGGGUCCGUGGAGACGACGACCAUCGCGAAAGCUGAAACAGAUGUUGCUCAACGUAGCUGAAGGUCUGAGGUGCUGCUGUGUUGAUCGGCAGAUCAUAUCAUUCCUAUCAAGCUUGAUGUUUGAUGUGGGCAUGAAUGCUCGGGGAAAGCUUAGUUUGCUUUGCUGAGCCGUGGGUGAUUUGUUUUCAGUACGGCCUUUUGCGCAUAAUGAC